UGAGACUGAACUGUCCUUUUUCGGUUAUCAUGGUACCGAUGCUGUAUAUCUGAAAGGUACAGUACUGUGAUAACUGAAGAAUGGUGGUGCCAUC
rnacentral:miRNA from 1 species